CUUGUUUACAGCAGGGAACAGAAGGAGAGAAGAGAUUAUGGGUGGAAGGAAACUCUUAUCGAUACACCACAGUUUUAAGCACAACUGUGAGGCUGAAGCAAGCAGAAAACUUGAAGCCAAAAAAAUUCCUUGCUGAAAGAGCUUCUCUUUCAUAGUUCAUCCCAGCACAAAAUUCCCUUUUGAGGUUCCUCGUGAACAAGCAAUCCCAAUGGAUUACUGUUAUGUCAGUCAGCCCAGAGUUGUGUGAGUUGCUUUGUAAGACUGGAAGGCAGCAAAUCCAUGCCCCAAUCCUUUUGUCUCCCUGCACAAACAAACACACAAACACAUGCCCAGAAACUCCUACAGAAGUGCUUGGGCAGGGCAUGGGGAUCUGAACACUUGGCCCACAGCUGUACCUGUCUCAGGGCACAAGGAUCAGAAUUACCCCAAGAGACUUCAGCUGGACCAGAGGGUCCCUUUUUGUCACAGAGAAGACGCCAGUUCCAACCUGAGCUUUUGGCUUCGAGAAUAUCAGGAACCUUCACGCUAUGUGACCCCACAGCCCAGCCUAACUGGUCAGCAGAGAGCUGCAAAAGUCUCUGCUUGGAGAAGAUUUUCCAUACUGGGGUCCCAGUUAGCUGCAGGGUCCCUGCUCUCCUGCCAGGACCAUCCCAGUGGUACCCCCUGGGUGAGCCAAGCUCUGCACAGCCUGCCAUCCUCCUCCACAUCUAGCCUCCUCCAAGAAAAAUCUGUGAGUAAAACUCACCCCAGAGCCUACAGGAGGAAAGAUCGGGGCUGCUUCAAGGUGUGGAGCCAACCUUGGAGACAACUUGGCUGUCUCAGAGACAUGAUGGACUUCCAUAUGCAUCUGCCUACAAAGUGCUGGGUGAAAGAUGUGCUUUGAGGAGAGGCUUGAAGGAGAAGGCAACGGUGGAGAGAAAUGGAGAAUGUUCCAGGAGGAGGCUGCCAGUGAUUACACAUCACCCACAAGUGAAAUCAACUGCUCAUCCUCAGCUUCUGUUUCCAAAUGUGAUGAAAGCAUGGGGAAAGGAUGCUAUUUGUUAAUGCUUUUCACAAUAAAAUAUUAGAAAUAAUGGUUUUGAGCA
rnacentral:lncRNA from 1 species